rnacentral:tRNA from 1 species
GAAUGUAGUAGCUCAGUGGUAGAGCACUUGACUAGCAUGUGUGAGGCCCUGGGUUCAAUCCCCAGUAACUCA